UACGUAGGGGGCGAGCGUUGUCCGGAUUUAUUGGGCGUAAAGAGCGUGUAGGCGGCCAGGUAGGUCUGCUGUGAAAACUCGAGGCUCAACCUCGAGACGUCGGCGGAAACCAUCUGGCUAGAGUCCGGAAGAGGAGAGUGGAAUUCCUGGUGUAGCGGUGAAAUGCGCAGAUAUCAGGAAGAACACCCGUGGCGAAGGCGGCUCUCUGGGACGUUACUGACACUGAGGCGCGAAGGUCAGGGGAGCAAACGGG
rnacentral:rRNA from 1 species